CCUACGGGCGGCAGCAGUGGGGGAUAUUGCACAAUGGGGGAAACCCUGAUGCAGCGACGCCGCGUGGGUGAAGAAGCGCCUCGGCGCGUACAGCCCUGUCAGCAGGGAAGAAAAUGACGGUACCUGAAGAAGAAGCCCCGGCUCACUACGUGACAGCAGCCGCGGUAAUACGUAGGGGGCAAGAGUUAUCCGGAUUUACUGGGUGUAAAGGGGGCGCAGACGGCGGUGCAAGCCAGGAGUGAAAGCCCGGGGCCCAACCCCGGGACUGCUCUUGGAACUGCGUGGCUAGAGUGCAGGAGGGGCAGGCGGAAUGCCUGGUGUAGCGGGGAAAUGCGUAGAUAUCAGGAGGAACACCGGUGGCGAAGGCGGCCUGCUGGACUGCAACUGACGUUGAGGCCCGAAAGCGUGGGGAGCAAACAGGAUUAGAUACCCUUGUAGUC
rnacentral:rRNA from 1 species